rnacentral:lncRNA from 1 species
AUUGUUAUCACCAUCAUCACCAUACGCCAAUCAUUCGCCACACAUGCACAUCUUGAUUUGACUUAUUGACUUGUUACUUUGGAUCCAUGGUUUGACUAUACAAUAAAUGUCUUGUAUGUAUGUAUAUUUUAUCUCCCACCUAUGAGCUCGAGAUAUUAAAGCCUUAUUAGAGUAGGGUGAGAGAGAAGUCAAUGUCACUAUGCUUCAUAUCACAAAUACCACAUAUUUUGAGAGAAGGCAUAUACCAUCACUGCCUUGGUAAGGAUCCAAAAAUACCACAAAAGAGAGAUAUGAGAGAGUCAUAUAAGGAAUCUCUGAGUUUUAUUUAAAAAUCUAAAGCUGAUCAAGAAUAAGAGACGUGGCACUUGACUAGACUGUUCUAUCUUUUAACUACUAAAGACAGAAGUGACGGUUACAAGUCCCAUGGUGAAAGGUAAACUAAGUAAGUUUUAAAUCUUGACAGUUUACUCUAACUCAGAGAUGAGAUCUUAUUUAAAAGCAUGUGUACCGUCAAUUUUUAAAGGCAUUACAACAACUUCUGAUCCAUCGCUGAGACUACCCUUGCUCAGGGACAAGCAAGAGGUAAGCUUGGGGGAGUUUGUUGAUGGUCCUUAAGUAUCA